rnacentral:rRNA from 1 species
AACGAACGCUGGCGGCAGGCUUAACACAUGCAAGUCGAGCGCCCCGCAAGGGGAGCGGCAGACGGGUGAGUAACGCGUGGGAAUCUACCCAUCUCUACGGACUAACGCUGGGAAACGUGUGCUAAUACCGUAUCCGGCCUCCGGGAGAAAGAUUUAUCGGAGAUGGAUGAGCCCGCGUUGGUCUAGCUAGUUGGUGGGGUAAAGGCCUACCAAGGCGGCGAUCCAUAGCUGGUCUGAGAGGAUGAUCAGCCACACUGGGACUGAGACACGGCCCAGACUCCUACGGGAGGCAGCAGUGGGGAAUAUUGGACAAUGGGCGCAAGCCUGAUCCAGCCAUGCCGCGUGAGUGAUGAAGGCCCUAGGGUUGUAAAGCUCUUUCACCGGUGAAGAUAAUGACGGUAACCGGAGAAGAAGCCCCGGCUAACUUCGUGCCAGCAGCCGCGGUAAAAC